CAAUUUAUACAAAGUAUCUAGAACAUUAAAUAGGGUCAGAUUGGUUUUCAUGUUGUCUUUAAAUAGACCAAUCCUAAAAUGAAAGUUUGAACCGUGCCUUCAGCAAAUGAUACUCCUCAUUAUUGUGUGUUUGUGGUUUCAUGUGUUUAUAUAUGUAAAAAUGGGGAGCUCUUAUGAUCUGAUGCAUGAAAGCGUCCUGUGAUGGGAUGUCACAACAUCAGAUGUGCUCGUGAGUGUGUACAGUUUGUGUGCAGGCCGUGGAGAAGCUGCGCUCUUUGUGAGGAGCAUGCAGUGGGCCUCAGGGCAGAGGCUGUUUGAUGUGAGCCAGCAAAAUGGAUUAUCUGGUGGCAGGAGAGUGAACGGGACUGUCGAUCUGCUUGAGGCAGGCUUCACACCAAAAUCUGCCGGGCCGUGAGGGAGCAGGCCACCCCGAAGGAGCACAGAUCUCUCACACAGGUGAGGACGCGUUUGAGCUGCACUCGGUGCAUCUCGAGCUGGAGGCCAAGGGGAAGCAGAUCCGAAGCAGGCCCAGUCGAGGGAGCGGAGAGCCGCGCUGGAAACAUCCCAGGCUGAUGCUCACAAGUCCGGGGGAUCCCGACAGAAAGAUAUGAAACUGUGUAUGAGAAAAUGUAGAUUGAGGGCCAGCUGCCCAGCCAGAUGCCGGUGGGAGUCGUGCCGGCAUUCCCAGCCCUGAGCUCUGCGUAGAAACAGUCCAAUCCCACAGACACGUGUGCUUAAAUCAUGCAAACAUCUUUUGGAUCUGUGAACCAAAACACAAGCCCGCAAUGAGCCUGGUGAGAUGAAACAAGCUCUCGUGGA
ensembl:lncRNA